UACAACCAUAUCACGUCGAAACAACGAUUCUCGUACGAUCACCGAAGUUAAGCAGCGUCGAAACUGGUCAUUACCUAGAUGGAUUACCGCUUGGGAAUAUCAGGUGCUGUAAG